UACGAAGGGGGCUAGCGUUGCUCGGAAUCACUGGGCGUAAAGCGCACGUAGGCGGAUUGCUAAGUCAGGGGUGAAAUCCUGGAGCUCAACUCCAGAACUGCCUUUGAUACUGGCGAUCUUGAGUCCGGGAGAGGUGAGUGGAAUUCCGAGUGUAGAGGUGAAAUUCGUAGAUAUUCGGAGGAACACCAGUGGCGAAGGCGGCUCACUGGUCCGGUACUGACGCUGAGGUGCGAAAGCGUGGGGAGCAAACAGG
rnacentral:rRNA from 1 species